UCAGCAUCAGUUCGUCAUCAUCACCAUUGCCUAAUUUGCCUUUUCUUACUUUGGUCCAGUUAUUCUUCAGUUAGUUUGACUUAUGGUUCCUGCUGAAAGUUCAAAAUUUACUUCCAUAUAAAUGACAGGAGAAUAUGUUAUUGUGACAUCAUGAAGUUUGUGAAGAUUAGUCAGUCAAAUUCUGAAAAGCCAUGGGGAUCUGCUGGACUUGUCCAGUACUGACACACUCAGUUCUAUGUUACCUUGUUGGACAUCAGAUGUUAAUGUCAGUGUUUGGACCGUUGCAAACUGUGAAGCACAGUCUUGCAUCUUUUAUGCCUGAAACUGCUGCGGUUGGUUGUAGCUAUUUUACUUUUUUUCUAUGAAUCACUAUUGAUGCCGAUUGAUGCAA